GUUAAAGCUGUGCGCCUGCGUACGGUAGUCCCAUGUGUUUUCGUGUAUACAUGCAUUGACAAGUUGAACGCUAGCUAGCUAUUACAACUGGAGCUGUGGCUGGGACUUCUACAGACAUACAUGCAUACCAGGGGAAAUAUGGAGGGACUCGUGCAGGCUAGCCUACCUCCUGAUCAGGGACACAUUCUGGGGAUAGUGUGGCCAGGUCCAAAUGCCCCUCGUAUGUAGGCACCACAGGAAUCCUAGUGCAGGAGAUGAAACGUCUUCAAAAUCAUCACAAAGGAGGACAAACUGAAAGUCAUACCCAAGCGAAACAGCGUGUUUGCCCUGGAGAUCGAUGGCUUUGUCUCCCAUAUCUACGGUAGCAAGUUUGAACUCCGCUCAAGCGAACGAUCAGCAAAGACAUUUAAAGUCAAAGGAACCAUAGACCUGUGAUGGUGUUGAUAGAGUACAGGACCGCCUAUGCAAAUGACAAUGAUGAGUGAUGACCUGACCUGCAGGUGGAGAAAUGAGACUGAGCUCUGAGACUCAAAGGACAGAGGAU